UGAAGGCUUUAGCUUAAUUAAAGUGUCUGUUUUGCAUACAGAAGAUGUGGGUUAGUGUCCUGUAAGUCUUA
rnacentral:tRNA from 1 species